rnacentral:rRNA from 1 species
AUGAACGCUGGCGGCGUGCCUAAUACAUGCAAGUCGAGCGAACGGACGAGAAGCUUGCUUCUCUGAUGUUAGCGGCGGACGGGUGAGUAACACGUGGAUAACCUACCUAUAAGACUGGGAUAACUUCGGGAAACCGGAGCUAAUACCGGAUAAUAUUUUGAACCGCAUGGUUCAAAAGUGAAAGACGGUCUUGCUGUCACUUAUAGAUGGAUCCGCGCUGCAUUAGCUAGUUGGUAAGGUAACGGCUUACCAAGGCAACGAUGCAUAGCCGACCUGAGAGGGGGAUCGGCCACCCUGGAACUGAGACCCGGCCCAACUCCCACGGGGAGGCAGCGGUAGGGAAUCUUCCGCAAUGGGGGAAAGCCGAACGGAGCAACGCCGGGGGAGUGAUGAAGGUUUUGGGAUCGUAAAACCUUUUUUUUGGGGAAGAAAAAUGUGGUAAGUACCGGUGAACAUCUUAAGGGUCCCUAAGCAGAAAGCCCCGGCAAACUACGU